rnacentral:lncRNA from 1 species
AUCCUUAGGGUGACUUUUUGGGUUCUUGUUUGUCUUGUUAAAAUGGUUUUAAGGUGACUUUUGGAACCCCUAAGUACCCUAGGAUAUUUGCCCUCUUUUGAGAGGUGAAAAUUUUGAGUUUUGGUGAAUGAAAACAUCCAUGGAACUAUUAUGAGUUUUCAUGGUGUUCUUCAUUGUUCUUGAAGUUCUUGCCAAGAACAAAAAAAAAAAAGGUUUGAAGUUUUGAUUCAAAAGUUUUAUGUUUUUCAUAAAGUUUUGGUUUAAUUUUGAUGGGUGAUGGAUAUUGGUGAAGCAUUAAUUUUGGUUUUAAUGUUAGACAAAUAUCUUUAAUGUUUGUCUAAACUCAUUAAUGUUUUUACAAAACAUUUUCUUACAAACCAUCAAUUUCACCUCACCCACCAAAAUCAACUUGCAUAUUGCACAUGCAUGCACUAAAACCCUUUCACACUUGUUCACACACUCCCUUGGCCGGCCACCCCUCAAGUGGGGUGUUUUUUUGGGUCUUUUGUGCAAUUACAUAAAGUUGUGAAAAUUUUGUGUUUUUGCAUUUUGGCCCAAAAGUUUACGUUUUUACGUUAAGGUCCUAAAACGCUAAAGGACAAAUUGUUUUGAUCCUUUAAUGAUGUUUUUACAUUAAUGAAAUUUUGGGCUCUAGUUGUAUUUACAUGAAGUUGUGGACUAUUGUGUUUAUACAAAGUGACCCCAAAAGUUUUUGUAUUUGCA